GGCUCGGUUGUCUAGGGGUAUGAUUCUCGCUUACGGUGCGAGAUCUCCUGGGUUCAAAUCCCGGUCGAGCCC